GAUGAACGCUGGCGGCGUGCCUAACACAUGCAAGUCGAGCGAUUCUCUUCGGAGAAGAGCGGCGGACGGGUGAGUAACGCGUGGGUAACCUGCCCUGUACACACGGAUAACAUACCGAACGGUAUGCUAAUACGAAAUAAUAUGCUUUUAUCGCAUGGUAGAAGUAUAAAAACUUUUGCGGUACAGCAUGGACCCGCGUCUGAUUAGCUAGUUGGUAAGGUAACGGCUUACCAAGGCGACGAUCAGUAGCCGACCUGAGAGGGUGAUCGGCCACAUUGGAACUGAGACACGGUCCAAACUCCUACGGGAGGCAGCAGUGGGGAAUAUUGCACAAUGGGCGAAAGCCUGAUGCAGCAACGCCGCGUGAGCGAUGAAGGCCUUCGGGUCGUAAAGCUCUGUCCUCAAGGAAGAUAAUGACGGUACUUGGGGAGGAAGCCCCGGCUAACUACGUGCCAGCCGCCGCAGUAA
rnacentral:rRNA from 1 species